GCCGGGAUAGCUCAGCUGGGAGAGCAACAGACUGAAGUUGGACGAUUCGUUCCUGCCUUCUGGAGGUCCCGUGUUCAAUCCACGGUCCUGGCA